AAUAUAAAAAAAACAAACUUAAUUUUAUUGAUUAUGAUAUAUACUUUAGUAUAUAUGUCUAACAUGACGAUAUAAUUCUUUUAGGGGACUUAAUUUCUAAUCAUUAUUCGUUGAGGAUGAAGCUGUAAAAUGAGGCGCAUUGUUGGUUCCCAAAACGUGGCUUGGAUAGCCGGAAGAGGAUCGCUAGAUCUCCUCCUCCCCCCCACGCGAUCCGAUCGCCCGCCCGGUCCGAUCCCAUCUCCCUUAGGGUUAGGCUUCCGCCUCCCCUCCGUCCUCCUCCAGCCAAGACCCGCCACCUUUCGUGGUGUUCCGGUGGCCUCCCGGCCCCUUCUCCGCUGGCGACACGCCCCCUCUGAUGCAUGCACCUGCGGCCGCGGAGGACGACGAGAAGGUCUUUGCGAAGAAGCCGCGCUACUGCGAGGCGGAGAUGCCCCUCGCCGACGCCAACAAUGAAUCCUCCUUCUUCCCCGUGGAGGAGAUCGUUCAGUACCCGCUGCCAGGCUACGUCGUCCCCUCCUCCAUCACCUUUAGCCCCGACGACCGCCUGAUCUCGUACCUGUUCAGCCCCGAUGGCACCCUCUACAGGAAAGUCUUUGCCUUUGACGUCGCCUCUCGGCGGCGGGAUCUGGUGUUUAGCCCGCCCGACGGAGGGGGUCUUGACGAGUGCAAUCUCUCCGAGGAGGAGAAGCUGAGGAGAGAGAGGUCUAGAGAGCGGGGAUUAGGUGUCACGCGCUAUGAGUGGAAGGCGAGGUCCCUUUCGGGGAAGCACACCAUCAUGGUGCCGUUGCCCACUGGGAUCUAUUUACAGGAAAUAUGUGAUACGGAGCCAGAGCUCAAGCUGCCGUGUCGUUCUAGUUCGCCAAUAAUUGACCCACAUCUGUCUCCGGAUGGAAGCAUGCUUGCGUAUGUUAGAGAGGAUGAGCUUCAUGUUUUAAGUUUAUCAGAGGGGCACCCUAAGCAGUUGACUUUUGGUGCAAAGGAAAAUGGAAUGACUCAUGGUCUUGCUGAAUACAUAGCACAGGAAGAGAUGGAAAGGAAAAAUGGAUUCUGGUGGUCUCCCGAUAGCAAAUAUAUUGCAUUUGCUGAAGUUGAUUCAUCAGAGAUACCUCUUUUUAGAAUUAUGCAUGAAGGAAAAAAGUCAGUUGGUUCAGAUGCACAGGAAGACCAUGCAUACCCAUUUGCUGGAGCAUCUAAUGUAAAAGUUCGACUUGGAGUUGUUGCUGCCUCCGGAGGAGAAGUUACUUGGAUGGAUCUUAUUUGCGGAGUGCAGGAUGAAGCUGGAGGUGCUGAAGAGUAUCUAGCCAGAGUGAAUUGGAUGCCUGACAAUUCUCUUGUAGCUCAGGUUCUCAACAGAUCCCAGACCAAAUUAGAAAUUCUUAAGUUUGAUAUUCAGACUGGAAAGAAAGUAAUUUUGUUUGUGGAAGAACAGGGUACAUGGAUAAAUUUGCAUGAUUGCUUGACACCUCUGGACAAAGGAGUGAACAAUUUGUCUGGUGGUUUCAUUUGGGCUAGUGAAAAAACCGGCUUUAGACAUUUGUACCUUCAUGAUAAGAAUGGAGUUUGUUUAGGACCUAUCACCCAGGGUAAUUGGAUGGUUGAACAAAUUUCUGGUGUAAAUGAAAAUGCAGGUCUUCUCUUCUUCACUGGCACCAUGGAUGGGCCACUAGAAUCCAACUUGUACUGCACAAGCCUAUUUCCAGAUUGGAAUCAUCCCUUGCAACUGCCAAGGAGGUUGACUCAUGGCAGUGGGAGACAUGCAGUGAUUCUCGAUCAUCAGAUGCAGAGGUUUGUCGAUGUCUAUGAUUCUCUGAACUCUCCACCUAGAGUAAUACUUUGUUCAUUACAUGAUGGAAGUAUAAUAGCACCUUUAUAUGAGCAGCCUUUAAGCAUUCCACAUUUUAGAAAGCUGCAACUUUUGUCACCAGAGAUCGUGCAAAUAUCUGCAAAAGAUGGUACUGUACUAUAUGGGACUUUAUACAAGCCUGAUGCAAGCAAAUUUGGGCCGCCACCAUAUAAAACGUUAAUCAAUGUUUAUGGUGGUCCAAGCGUCCAGCUUGUAGUUGAUUCAUGGAUAAAUACUGUUGACAUGAGAGCUCAAUACCUACGAAAUAAGGGCAUCUUAGUGUGGAAGCUAGAUAACAGAGGGACCGCAAGACGAGGUUUGAAAUUCGAAGGCCAUCUGAAGCACAACUUUGGUCAUAUAGAUGCAGAAGAUCAACUUACUGGUGCAGAGUGGCUUGUAAGGCAAGGCCUUGCCAAAGUGGGUCAUAUUGGCCUCUAUGGUUGGAGCUACGGGGGUUUCCUGUCGGCGAUGAGCCUGGCAAGGUUUCCUGAGACUUUCUGCUGUGCAGUAUCAGGCGCCCCCGUGACUUCAUGGGAUGGGUACGACACGUUCUACACCGAGAAAUACAUGGGUUUGCCAAAAGAAAAUCCAGAUGCCUAUGAAUAUGGGUCGAUCAUGCAUCAUGUGCCCAAAAUCAAAGGGAAGCUGCUGCUUAUCCAUGGAAUGAUCGAUGAGAAUGUGCACUUCAGGCACACCGCGAGGCUCAUAAACUCGCUCAUUGCAGCUGGCAAGCCAUAUGAGCUUCUGCUUUUUCCAGAUGAAAGGCACAUGCCUCGUCAGCUUAGAGAUCGUAUUUAUAUGGAGGUGAGAAUUUGGGAAUUUAUAGAGAGAAGCUUAUGAAGGGAGCCACGAUCUCCCUAUUCGGCUAGUGUGAGUUUAUACUUGAGAACAGUCAGGCACCUAUUGUGAAUGUGGCCCAACUAUACCAGUUCAAUAAAGAAGAAUUUAUCGACUGAGUGGACGUUUUUACUUUUUAGUGUCUCCUUGUGAAUAAGAGUUUCUUGGAGGAUUGAGUUUUUUUUUUCCUGUUGGUUUUCAUUCUCAGUCUUCCAGUUGAAGUUGGUUUUCCAGCAGAUGUAUCUGUCUGAUUUAUGUUAAAGGUUUACCUUCUUUAAUUGAAGCAACGAGGCAUUCUGGUUCAUCAAAUCAUUUUGUAGUAUUGAUAUUCUCUCGGACUAGAAGAAACUUUGCAUACCGAGGCAUAUGUUAUAUAUGGACAGAAAUGAAUCUGUAUCAGAGACUACUAGAUGGUGUGCAUCAUUAGAAUGACAGCUGGUGGGUAAUCUCUCUCUGCCAUGACACAAGUCAUUGGUGAAAGUGUGAAAUGAAUGGGUCGAUUGCCGGCUCAAUCUAUAAGCUGCUAUAUAAUUAUUUGGAAGUUCUGCCCGGGUUUGCAAGUAAUUGCUGGUUGUUCAAAGUAUGCUGCUGACUGUUUGUUGUAUCGAAACCAUAUAAUUUGAUGACAUUUAAUACCAAUAAAUAUCAGCGCUAUAUACAGGAUUGCGUCCCUUUCCAUCGUCAUAAGAUAUGAGUGCGGCUUUCGAAAGGGAAAAGGCCGUUUGAACUCGCCCUCCGACAGCCGUUCUCUUUGAAGGUGAAGGAUAUUUUGGUGAGACCGCCUUUGAUCGUUGUGAAGAUGAUCUGUGCGAAUCAUCAAGCACUCUCGUGCCAGUGACCCAAAGGCAGUCGAUGGUCACAAUCGACGCGGCGGCACGCUCGUCGGGUGGAGCAACGUCUCCAAACAGACGCGUGCCUCUGGGGCCCACGUGCACAUGGUUUCGCUUUGUCCGACACGUCAUUUUCCGUUAACGUUAGUGGCGCCCAGAAGGGGACACGUCGAAGCCCGCGCCCCUAUCCAUCCCCGCUGCGACACCUCAGCCUCGUGUCAUCAUCCAUCGCCAAACAAGCUUCGUGCCGGACACAUGAAGUUACAGAAUUACCCCGCCGAU